UGGGGAAUAUUGGACAAUGGGCGAAAGCCUGAUCCAGCCAUGCCGCGUGUGUGAAGAAGGUCUUCGGAUUGUAAAGCACUUUAAGUUGGGAGGAAGGGCAGUAAGCGAAUACCUUGCUGUUUUGACGUUACCGACAGAAUAAGCACCGGCUAACUCUGUGCCAGCAGCCGCGGUAAUACAGAGGGUGCAAGCGUUAAUCGGAAUUACUGGGCGGAAAGCGCGCGUAGGUGGUUCGUUAAGUUGAAUGUGAAAGCCCCGGGCUCAACCUGGGAACUGCCUCCAAAACUGGCGAGCUAGCGUAGGGCAGAGGGUGGUGGAAUUUCCGGUGUAGGUGUGAAAUGCGUAGAUAUAGGAAGGGAAACCAGUGGAGAAGGCGACCACCUGGGCUCAUACUGACACUGAGGUGCGAAAGCGUGGGGGGCAAACAGG
rnacentral:rRNA from 1 species